rnacentral:rRNA from 2 species
ACUGAUUGAUGGUGCUUGCACCUGAUUGACGAUGGAUCACCAGUGAGUGGCGGACGGGUGAGUAACACGUAGGUAACCUGCCCCGGAGCGGGGGAUAACAUUUGGAAACAGAUGCUAAUACCGCAUAACAACAAAAGCCACAUGGCUUUUGUUUGAAAGAUGGCUUUGGCUAUCACUCUGGGAUGGACCUGCGGUGCAUUAGCUAGUUGGUAAGGUAACGGCUUACCAAGGCGAUGAUGCAUAGCCGAGUUGAGAGACUGAUCGGCCACAAUGGAACUGAGACACGGUCCAUACUCCUACGGGAGGCAGCAGUAGGGAAUCUUCCACAAUGGGCGCAAGCCUGAUGGAGCAACACCGCGUGAGUGAAGAAGGGUUUCGGCUCGUAAAGCUCUGUUGUUGGAG